AGAAUUCCAGAGUCGGGCAGAGUUACGGAUAGAAGAGCUUCAAGUUUCAGGCUGGAAGCGACCUUCACAGACUAUCUUAUCCCUAAUCGGACUGCCAGGUGGGGCCACGUAGAAUGCAGCCCUGUUUCUUAGGUCUGCCGUGUUCUCCUCCGAAGUGUUCUCGUUGAGAAGGUAAGAAAAAUGAAGAGGCUACAGUGGAAAACAACAUAGUGGCUCCUCAAAAAAUUAAACAGAAUUUUACCGUAGGAUGCAGUGAUUCCACUUCCAGUUUAUACUCCAGAAGAAUUGAAAGCGGGGACUUGAACAAAUAUUUGUACACUCAUGUUCAUAAAACUGUUCUGCACAAGAACCGAAAAGUGGAAGCAACCCUUGUGUUGAUGGAUGAAGAGGGAAGGGAGACGUGGGAUGCACAUGCAGUGGAAUCCUAUUCAGUCUUGAAAAGAAAGGGACCUCUGACACCUGCGACCUUAUGAAUGAAUCUUUGAAGACAUCACGUUGACUGAAAUAAGCCACCGAUUUUCCCAUUGCUGUGGAAUGUGAGGAGAUUAUUCCCAUCUCUCUAGGGCUCACAGACCGUGUGUCUCUACCCUUCGUGGUCCCUUUUAUGAGCUUUUAAAAUUGGGAAUACUCGGUUGAUGGUACCUUUUGACUCCAAUUUUCUAAUGCUGAGUGCCCUGAAAUACAAGUCAAUUAUGACACUAAAAUGCAUGGAGCGGAGUUCCCGUCGUGGCGCAGUGGUUAACGAAUCUGACUAGGAACCAUGAGGUUGCGGGUUCGGUCCCUGCCCUUGCUCAGUGGGUUAACGAUCCGGCGUUGCCGUGAGCUGUGGUGUAGGUUGCAGACGCGGCUCAGAUCCUGCGUUGCUGUGGCUCUGGCGUAGGCCGGUGGCUACAGCUCCGAUUCGACCCCUAGCCUGGGAACUUCCAUAUGCCACGGGAGUGGCCCAAGAAAUAGCAACAACAACAACAACAACAACAAAAGACAAAAAAAAAAAAAAAAAAAAAGCAUGGAGCUUGUGUCACAUCCCAUGCACUAAAGAGCAAGGCUCCCAACAAGACUGCCCCUACUUCAGAUGACAAUUUUCAGUGGGAUUCCCAGACUAUUCAUAAUUGUCCCUGAUAAACUACAACAUUAGCGCUUCCCAUA
rnacentral:lncRNA from 1 species